AUCAGCCUCGCUGUCAAUACGAG
rnacentral:miRNA from 8 species